GAUGAACGCUGGCGGCGUGCCUAAUACAUGCAAGUCGAGCGAACAGACGAGGAUCUUGCUCCUCUGACGUUAGCGGCGGACGGGUGAGUAACACGUGGAUAACCUACCUAUAAGACUGGGAUAACUUCGGGAAACCGGAGCUAAUACCGGAUAAUAUAUUGAACCGCAUGGUUCAAUAGUGAAAGACGGUUUUGCUGUCACUUAUACAUGGAUCCGCGCCGCAUUAGCUAGUUGGUAAGGUAACGGCUUACCAAGGCAACGAUGCGUAGCCGACCUGAGAGGGUGAUCAGCCACACUGGAACUGAGACACGGUCCAGACUCCUACGGGAGGCAGCAGUAGGGAAUCUUCCGCAAUGGGCGAAAGCCUGACGGAGCAACGCCGCGUGAGUGAUGAAGGUCUUCGGAUCGUAAAACUCUGUUAUUAGGGAAGAACAAAUGUGUAAGUAACUAUGCACGUCUUGACGGUACCUAAUCAGAAAGCCACGGCUAACUACGUG
rnacentral:rRNA from 1 species